CGACCGGCGCACGGGUGAGUAACGCGUAUGCGACCUGCCCGUUGCAGGGGGAUAAUCGGGAGAAAUCCCGUCUAAUACCGCGUAACGCCGCGGGGCUGCAUGGCCCUGCGGCCAAAGGGAGCGAUUCCGGCAACGGAUGGGCAUGCGUGACAUUAGCUAGUUGGCGGGGCAACGGCCCACCAAGGCGACGAUGUCUAGGGGUUCUGAGAGGAAGGUCCCCCACACUGGUACUGAGACACGGACCAGACUCCUACGGAAGGCAGCAG
rnacentral:rRNA from 1 species